GCUGGGAGAGAAAUGGAGAUGGGGGGCGAAAUGUUUUGGUUGAGUUGUGCGGAAUACGGGGGCGCAAAGGCUCUUCUGGACUUUGCCCGAUCUGCUGGUCCUUGCGGGACGAACACUCGAUUUGCCAGGUUACCUACCUGAUGAAAACAUAGCUAAUUAGGGCAUCCUCAAUAAGUCGGUAGUAGUACAGCUGAUACUAAGACAGCCUCAUGCUAAACAACUGCUCCGAUAGUGAGUAUUUUGGCUUGGUACUAAGAUCUAAAAUACUCCUAAAUUCUUGACUCAAAUUUGUCCAAAUAUGAAUGUAUCUGUUUUAAAAAAAAUCUAGAUACAUAAUAUUUCGUUAACAAUUUAGGAUCAGGAAUUAUUGUUUAAAAUGUUGCAUGUGUGACUUAUCUGUGAGGAUCUACACUGAACUCUAACUCCGAAGCCUUAAUGUGUCUAUUGUAUUAACAAGUAGUAAUCUAAUAAUUAGCAAAAUUAUAAAGCACACAAUGAUUAAUUGAUACAUCACUAUUAGAACCUACGGCCAUGGAAGAUCAUCCAUCCAUCAAUCGAACAUCGGACAUACUUUCUUUGCAAAAGAACUGAAUCAUGAGUUCAGCAGAAAAGUACAUUCAGUUUGCAAAAUAUAUCCUCUUUUCAUAUUAGAAAGUUCAAGAUCAUGAACAGCAAAAGAAUCUUCUUUUAUUAAUGUUGCAUUGCCACGAUGAAACUGAACAUCCAGGUAUGACCAUGCUUGUGCUAUCAAAUAAUGUUGGCUAAUCAGAAUAUAAGUUAAGAAGGACUCGAUUGUUGCAAAACAAGUACUACUCCAGUAAAAGAUCGACUGGAGACACACCUCCGUUGAACUCAACAAACAAAUUCCAAAAAAUUCCACAAAGCUGAUUUACGAGCCUCUUCGUAAAGAAAUCGUUGCCAGGAGCUAGUAGCCCACCAACAAUCAGCAGAGGUGGAGGGAACCAUGCCGCAGGUGGCCUGCGGACGAGGAUGCGGCGCCGGUGAACCACGGCGGCGGCGACGGCAGGGUGACCCCAAUGAGCUGCGGAGGAGGAUGCAGCGGUGCCGUUGAUCUGUGGCGAAGGAGACGGCGCGGCAGCGCCCUGAACUGCGGCGAGAUCGAAGGCAGAUGGGAGGAGGGCGGGGCAGCAGCGGGACGGAGGGGAAUGUUUGGCUACGGAGGGGGAACCUGCACAGAUCGAUCCGUGAUUUCGGUGGGUCCCGCCGAAGUAACGAGGAGGUUGUUCCAAUAGCAGUUUGGAUCGGUACGAAUGCCUA
rnacentral:lncRNA from 1 species